UACGUAGGGGGCGAGCGUUGUCCGGAGUUACUAGGCGUAAAGCGCACGCAGGCGGUCUGCUAAGUUUGGAGUGACAGUUGGUGGCUUAACUGCCAAAGUGCUUCGAAAACUGACAGACUUGAGGGCUUCAGAGGGACACGGAAUUCCGGGUGGAGUGGUGAAAUGCGUAGAGAUCUGGAAGAACACCAAAGGCGAAGGCAGCAUCCUGGGAAGUUCCUGACGCUCGGGUGCGAAAGCCAGGGGAGCGAACGGG
rnacentral:rRNA from 1 species